AGAGUGAACGCUGGCGGCGUGCUUAACACAUGCAAGUCGAGCGAAUUCUAGCAGCAUAUCGCUAGAGUUAGCGGCAGACGGGUGAGUAUAACUUGGGCAAUCUACCUUCAAGUGGGAGAUAACCUGCCGAAAGGCGGGCUAAUAUCCCGUAACACAAAAGGGUCGCAUGAUCUUUUUGUUAAAGCUCCGCAAGGGGCGCUAGAAGAGGAGCCCAGGACCUAUCAUGGUAGUUGGUGAGGUAACGGCUCACCAAGCCUUUGACGGGUAGCCGGCCUGAAAGGGUGACCGGCCACACUGGCACUGAGACACGGGCCAGACUCCUACGGGAGGCAGCAGUGGGGAAUUUUGGACAAUGGGGGAAACCCUGACGCAGCAACGCCGCGUGGAGGAUGAAGUCCCUUGGGACGUAAACUCCUUUCGAUCGGGACGAUAAUGACGGUACCGAGAGAAGAAGCCCGGCUAACUUCGUGCCAGCAGCCGC
rnacentral:rRNA from 1 species